GCGGUUUUAGCUCAGUUGGGAGAGCGUCAGACUGAAGUCAACUUCAGUUCAGUUAAUCUGAAGGUCCAGUGUUCGAUCCACUGAAACCGCA
rnacentral:tRNA from 1 species